rnacentral:tRNA from 1 species
GCCGGGGUGGUGGAAUUGGUAGACACGUACGCUUCAGGUGCGUAUGUCGCAAGAUGUGAGGGUUCGAGUCCCUUCUCCGGUA